GAUGAACGCUGGCGGCGUGCCUAAUACAUGCAAGUCGAGCGAACGGACGAGAAGCUUGCUUCUCUGAUGUUAGCGGCGGACGGGUGAGUAACACGUGGAUAACCUACCUAUAAGACUGGGAUAACUUCGGGAAACCGUAGCUAAUACCGGAUAAUAUUUUGAACCGCAUGGUUCAAAAGUGAAAGACGGUCUUGCUGUCACUUAUAGAUGGAUCCGCGCUGCAUUAGCUAGUUGGUAAGGUAACGGCUUACCAAGGCAACGAUGCAUAGCCGACCUGAGAGGGUGAUCGGCCACACUGGAACUGAGACACGGUCCAGACUCCUACGGGAGGCAGCAGUAGGGAAUCUUCCGCAAUGGGCGAAAGCCUGACGGAGCAACGCCGCGUGAGUGAUGAAGGUCUUCGGAUCGUAAAACUCUGUUAUUAGGGAAGAACAUAUGUGUAAGUAACUGUGCACAUCUUGACGGUACCUAAUCAGAAAGCCACGGCUAACUACGUGCCAGCAGCCGCGGUAAUACGUAGGUGGCAAGCGUUAUCCGGAAUUAUUGGGCGUAAAGCGCGCGUAGCGGUUUUUUAAGUCUGAUGUGAAAGCCCACGGCUCAACCGUGGAGGGUCAUUGGAAACUGGAAAACUUGAGUGCAGAAGAGGAAAGUGGAAUUCCAUGUGUAGCGGUGAAAUGCGCAGAGAUAUGGAGGAACACCAGUGGCGAAGGCGACUUUCUGGUCUGUAACUGACGCUGAUGUGCGAAAGCGUGGGGAUCAAACAGGAUUAGAUACCCUGGUAGUCCACGCCGUAAACGAUGAGUGCUAAGUGUUAGGGGGUUUCCGCCCCUUAGUGCUGCAGCUAACGCAUUAAGCACUCCGCCUGGGGAGUACGACCGCAAGGUUGAAACUCAAAGGAAUUGACGGGGACCCGCACAAGCGGUGGAGCAUGUGGUUUAAUUCGAAGCAACGCGAAGAACCUUACCAAAUCUUGACAUCCUUUGACAACUCUAGAGAUAGAGCCUUCUCCUUCGGGGGACAAAGUGACAGGUGGUGCAUGGUUGUCGUCAGCUCGUGUCGUGAGAUGUUGGGUUAAGUCCCGCAACGAGCGCAACCCUUAAGCUUAGUUGCCAUCAUUAAGUUGGGCACUCUAAGUUGACUGCCGGUGACAAACCGGAGGAAGGUGGGGAUGACGUCAAAUCAUCAUGCCCCUUAUGAUUUGGGCUACACACGUGCUACAAUGGACAAUACAAAGGGCAGCGAAACCGCGAGGUCAAGCAAAUCCCAUAAAGUUGUUCUCAGUUCGGAUUGUAGUCUGCAACUCGACUACAUGAGGCUGGAAUCGCUAGUAAUCGUAGAUCAGCAUGCUACGGUGAAUACGUUCCCGGGUCU
rnacentral:rRNA from 1 species